UAAAAUGAUGAGAACUGUACUGUGUGAGUAAAGAAAAUAAGAUCAACUAUGUUUGCUGGUUUCUUCUUGAAAUUAAUUUAACAUAAAAGCUUGAUGUUUGCGGAUAGUAGUUGUACAAUUUUCUGAUCAAGGGAAAAUUGUAUGAUCCUGCCAAAUAUUCGAAGCUGGAUGAAUGUGUACACUUGUACUCCUUGGUCUAAAACUGUUACAAAAAAUAAUGACACAGAAUAAACUUUGAAUGAAAAAAAAACUGCCGAUACCAUUUUUCAUGUGAAAAUAAAUUAAAUAUAUUUAUACAUUGUAAUACAUGGACUAGCAAAAUUUUAGUGUGACAAAUACAGAAUAACAGAGGGAGUGAUGUACCAAAUAAUCAGUUAAAAUCAUUUUACAUUCACUGCACUAACAACUACCUGCGCACAUUUGAUUUAUUAAUGUCAUUUCCAUCUCUUUCUCUGGUUUAGGUAACAGUACAUUUUUUAACCACAGCUGAGCUGAGAAACUGCAUGCACCUUUGCACAUCUUGCUAGCUGCCUGUACCCAUCUCUCCUAAUCCUCCGUUAUGACUCACUGUCAUCAUGCUAACUAUAGUAUUUUUCGCUAACUAGUCCUUCUCAGAACGACGCUGUGUCCUCGCCUUUCUUCUCUUAUAUAUAAUCGCAUUGUUGCUUGACAUCUAACCUUCCUAACGCUUUACUUGAGGUUUUAAUUCGUUUUGCGUCCUGUCAGGUUCAGGAGGCACCACUACAGACAGGUCCUAGUAAAACAUGCCAAUUAGGAGAGAUGCCUCUUCAUCAAGUGACAGUAAUUCAAGCCCUAAAACAGCCCCCCUACUAGUUUAUUCAAAAAGGAUAUUUCCGCUGGACUUAAUACUCAAAAUUUAAGGAAGUGCUCGAGAAAAUAUUCGCCAGAAUAAUAUUGUUUCUAUUUAUACUAGUGAAUGAAAAUUUUGUCGUUCCAAAUAGUACCCAGCGAUUCUACGAUAAAAUUCAAUGAUUUGACAAUCUCGACACUCGUAAAGUAUGACAUAUGAGACAUGGCUACCUGAGUCAGUGAUAAUAAGACGAUAUGUCAAAUAAUAGAACCCUAAUUUAUAAAGUGUCAAAAGAAGAGAAAAUCAAAUAUCUGGAUUCUGAGUAUGUGCAGAUGUUUUCUGAAGGAACAGAUGUCUAUAACCGUCGAUUGUUUAAUCAGUUUUAUCCAGUAUAUUAUUGCAUCAAUGUGGGCACACUAGUUCUGACAGAUGGUAUUCAAAGGUUCAGAGCGGAGCACAAGCAAGCACACUCGUUGAUCAUUUUUGGGAACCACAAAACUUUGCAAGCCGUCUCGUUAUAAACGAAAACAAUCUGCAAUGGCUUCCUAAGUGCCAAUCACAUGUCAAUUUUCUCUGCAAAACUAUGAGUCCAUAUGAUCUUGAAAUUGGUCGCCCCCAUAAUAUAUUGGAGCACAUCACAUGGCCACUAGACAAGCUUGAGACGAUCAUUAAUUAAUUAUGGAUUUUUUUAAGGUGCACCAAGUUAAUACGAGUCAUCCAUUGUUCAUAGAUCUAAGGGUUGAUAAUACUCUUACCUCAGGUGUGGUAAGAGUCAUUUAUUGCCAUUCAAAUUUAAAUAUGAUCAUAAAUUGCACUGUAAUAAGGAAAGAAAGAGAUAAUAUUUCCUUACUUAAAUACAACAAUUAUACUAGUAAAAUUAAAAAUAUGAAAUACUCUCAAUAUCUUUAUACUUUCAAUUUAUAAACUAAGUUCAAAAUAAUUAUGAUGCAUAUAUGAAAAAAUAAUUUUCACUUUUGUAAUUUUUUUUUUAACAGAACCUAGUAUCCAAAUUCAGUCAUAUCUAUUUGGCUUCAAAUAAGAAAAGUAUUUGUAAUAAAUUUCAUGUUAAAUUUGAAUCCUUUGGGGAAUCAAUUGGAGUUUGCACGAUUUUUAGCAAUAUGUAUAAACUAAAAUUUUAGUUUGACUGGCACGUUGGUCUACCAAAAUUUUGCCUAAUAUUUUAGUAUGGAAUUAAUGUGCUUGGCGUUAUUGUUAUUUCCACCGUAAGCAUGCAUGCACGAUUAGCGUGAUUAUUAUAAUAGCACUUUACUUAUUUGAGCAUGCUAAAUGAAUGAGUUGUUGGAUCAUUUAUGUUGAUUAAAAUAAAAGGACAAAAUUCAAUGGCCAAGAUUAAUUGAGAGCUCUUACCUCACAAGAGGUAAGAUGAAGCCUGUAAAACUGCUCAUUAAUUAUUGUGUAACUUGUUAAGUGACACGAGCUAGUUAAUCGGCAAAAGAAAAACAAGUAGCUAAUUGGAUAUCAUCAUCAUCUGAACAGUGGCAACAGUACGUACACAUGCUGUGCAUCUCCAUGCAUGCCAUGGCCAAAAAAUGUGCCUAUAGUUAGCAGACACUAUAAAUACUUCACAUGUAGAAGCACCCAUGCUCCAUGUUAAUCAAAUGUGUAGUUAGACAAGUAUAGCUCACCAAACUUGACGAAUACCAUACAGAAAUGUACAUAUCGAUCGGUAGCUAAGCUGCUAACCAGCAGAGCUAUCGAUCUCAUCGGUCAUGUUCAGGCAACCGCCCCAACUAAAUGGUGCUAACACUAAUUAAACACCGUCCUUAAUAUCGACGUGUCGUACAAAUUUUUAUGUAUUCCCAUCUGUUUCGUUCAAAUUCAUAGAAAAACAUAGCAAUAUUUAUAACACCAAAUUAAUUUUAUUAAAUUCACUAUUAAAUAUAUGUUUUUAAUAUAUUUGUUUGGCGCUAAAAAUGCUGAAAAAUAUUAGGACAAAACCAGAACACGAGGGAUCAUUAUUCUUGAUGCAUCUAAAUAUAUUCGACGUGACGGUGUAACUGUACAAUCACCAGUUCUAUUGUAAUAGCAUUUGAUUAAGUUAACCCUCUUCCUUUCCUCAUUAAUCACGGUAGUUGUAUUAUAUGUUAAAAGUCAAUAUAUAGUCUAUAUAGACAAGAAGAAAGUGCUAGCAGUAUUUGACAGAUUGAAAACUGGCAGGUGAGUAUUUUUGCUUUUUACAUACUCCAGCUAAUGGUGACGAUAACAAUCUUUAGUUCGUGGUGUAUAUAAUAUGGGGUUGCUUGAACAACUAAAGUUGCGUAAGUUAAAUCAAUUAGUACUAAAAGUAUACUUCUGUACACUUGUACAGUUGCUAUAGUAUGUGUGAUCAGUGGUGCUGUGCAUUGUCAAGUCAUAAAUAAACCGUGGUCACCGGAAAGAAAGAUGAGCUAAAUGCGUAGCUACGCAAACCUAAUCGGUCCCUACUGCAUGCACCACCUACGCAUGAAGCGAUCGAUGUGUCACGUCGAUACAAAAAAAAAUGUGGUUGCACCGCUCAUGGCUAUCUGCUACGUCGCCUAAAUCAGCAAUUAAAUGGUGAUAGAUACGGAGAAUUACGUUUUGGGUACUCGUCAGAAUUAAUAAAUUGGUUGAAUAUUGAUCAAACCGGGUGAAUGGGCCAAACAACCUGAGAGGGAAGUUCAACUGGCCAUACAUGUAUGUGCCACCACCGGUCCAACUUUAAAAGGACCAAAACCUACUGACUACCGAGAAUUUCACACUAUGGUACCCACUCCAUUUCUCAAAAAAAAAGAAUUCAUUUUCUUUUUUAUAUUCCUUUUUUUUUCAAAAUGUCGUUUUUUCUUCAACAAUCUGCAUCACUUCACAUUUCGUCACAUCUUUCACCUUUUUGCCUACGAGGGUUUCCGUUCCAAAACUCUGUUUUGUUAAAACUCUCAAAGCUUGACUUGUAGCGCUGCAGUGCUGCCUGCUGCUAACCGCGAAACCCACAGGUAAGCUCCCGUGGGCGAGGCUGUAAAGCGCACCGGCCAACCAACCAACCAAAACCCCUCCUGCCCUCCACCACACCUCGCGUACGCACGUUGCACGGCGACCCGCUUGCGUUUUUGGAUGCGAAAUGGGCCGCUUCUCACCCCACCCCCACCCCCGGUCGCGAGGCCUCGUCUGCGCUGCACAGCACAACCCCAACACGCACACCUCUGGUCCCCGGCCGGUCGCUCGCUGGACAUAUAUAAUAAGAGCAAGAAAAUAAAGCUGGUUGCACUGGUGCUGCCUGUAAAGGGGUAAAGUUCGUGUAUAAUUUCCUUCGAGGCACACUGCCAGGAUGGAAACGGAUGGGUCGGUGUACGUAGUAUCCGAUCUAACCAUGGAUCGGACAACCAGCGACGCACUUCGGGCUAUGGAAUGGAUGCGACGGAAAUGGACACGACUGGCCCCAGCCAGUCACGGUAGCCAGUACUAGUAGCUACUAGCAUCAAGGCAUGGCAUGGAAAAUGGAGUAUAGGAGUACGUGUACAAGAGCUAGCACGACGGAACUGGAAGGGAAGGAUCACUUGGAUUGGAGCUAGUAGUAGUGAUACUUUGACAGGACAGAGGCAACAGAAACAGUGGCGUUUUCUGCGUUGCCUCCAGGGGACCAAACCAAACCAACCAACCAACCCGUUACGGAGCCCAUCUCGCCGGCCAUCGAGGCAGCGGGGGCUGCAUGCUCGGCGAAGCGAUCUAGAAACACGGGAGGUGCCGUGAUCCACGACGACCCUGGACCACCGCGCACCGGGCGGCCGGACUCCAUCCUGCACUCCACACCUCCCUAGCUUGACCGGAUAUGCCUGGCUGCCUCCUGCCCCCUUGCCGUUUCCUCCGGCUCUGUCGUAUCCGCCACCGUCGGUGCUGGUCCUUCCCUCUCGUCUGCUUGCUGUUUCCGUCUAUCGAUAUACUCUUUCCGUCUUCGAUGGUUGGUUUUUUAUACAUGUUUGACUGUUUAUCUUAUUUAAAAAUUUAUAUAAUUAUUUAUUAUUUUUAUAUCAUUUUAUUUAUUGUUAAAUAUACUUUUAUGUAUAUAUAUAGCUUUACAUAUUUAAAAAAAUUAAAUAAAACGAACGGUCAAAUAUAUCGAAAAGUCAACGACGUCAAACAUUUAGAGAUAGAAGGAGUAUUAUGUCUUCUACGCAGUUAGUCGUAGAUAUGUUGCACAACCUUAUUGAUCCAAACAGUGUGUGCGUUUCUUUUUCCUUCUUUUUACAAUUACGAUAUACUCCAUUCGUCGUCCUUUAAUAAAAGAGAUUCUAAGGUUUAAAUUUUGUUUUUAAAUAUAGAUAUUAUACAACAUUAUUUAUCACAUCAAACACCUCUCAUUCAAAUUUAUAUCUAUUUUAUCAUCAACUACUUUCUACUAUCUAGUCUAUAUAUUAACGAUGAGCACCACAGUCCUUUUAUUUUAUCCUUAAUUUGUCCAAAACAACUUAUAAUAUAGAAUAGUUAAGAACAGAGAUAUUAUUAGAAAGAAGUCGCAAAUGAGCACACACAUAUGGAAAUCUAUAAGCAUGUUUUAUCCUAGUAUAUAGUGUGCUCUUUAGAUAGAGACUAGUGAUAAACCUAUUAAAAAUGCAAACCACACCCAGGAAACCGUGACACUUCACCUAAGCGAAAGGUUGGAUUUUUUUUCCCCAAAAACUUGGUAUUGGUUCAUGUUUCAAAUAGAACUCCAAAAACCUUACAAAAUGUUUUUAUACCAAAAUCAAACAUUUCAGGGUUGGAUUUUAUCAGUUUCAAAUCAGAUACUUGAAAUAACAAGAGUCAAGCUAGGUUUUCUUACUGUUGUUGCACUUGCCACUUGCACAUUGAUUUCCGAUAUGUUGCACUUGCAUGGCCGAUUAAUUAGAAAUCAUCAACAACCAUAGUUAUGGUGGUGAUACUAAUUAAUGGAAGGAGGUGGUAUAUUUUUAUAAGAUAAAGUAUGUAACUAAAAAUUAAUUGCUAGGAUGUAUGGUGAGCUCUUACCUCUCUAUAUGUAAGAUAAGAUGGAGUAUAUAUAGUAAAAGAGCUCGAUGAUUUAUCAUCUAUGCUUCACUAAUCAUGGAUCCAUGUAAGCUGAACCUAGUUUCUGGCCAAGUACAGUGAACCAAUAGUCCACUGACAAACGGCGGAAUUAAGAAGCAAAAUAGUCCAAGAAAGAUUCCAUCUUCCCAUGGAGGCAUGGAGCCAUGCAUAGUACGGAGACAUACAAAAUUUACAUAUUCCCCCAUAUCUUGGACAAGAACGAAUUUACAAAUCCACCAAUCAUCAGCAUUGCUUGGUUUAUUUGAGUUCAAUUUGACUAGAGAUAAUGUGUAACGACAUUGCCAAUUAAGAGACACUAGAUCAGACAUGGGAAGCAUCAGCCGCCCAUGAUUGUGCUUGUACAUGUUGUGUCUGCCUACGGCUAAGGGUUCCAAUCCCAUCAUGCACAUGUGUAACAUGUGGAAUUGCGAAUUAUUUGCAAUGUACAUGUAGUGUAAGAUAGUGUAGCUAGUGUACAAAACAUUUUCUACAAUAAGUGUUGAUAAUAGUACUACAAAAUGGAUAAAUUUGUUUGUGCUCUGCAUGGAAGUUAUUGUCAAUAUUUAGAAACAAAUUCCAUGAUUUUUCACUCUUUAUAUUGUCAUCUACCACCCCAUGACAAUAAUGUGUAGGAUCCUCCGACUCAACAACACGUGGAUUAGAAUGACAAAUCGUCAAAUCCCGGAUCUAAAGAGUGACAAAUUAUUAAAUCCCCUAUUCUUAGAUAACGAAAACAAUUUAUUUCUCCGGCCACUCUAGGAAGACACACUAGGGGCUCAUGACAUGGUAACGUGAUGUACUUCUAGUGGUCAAUUCUUGAAUUAUAAAUUAAUUAGAUUUCAUUUCUAACCAUUUGAUUUGCUCUAUAAUCAUUAAAACGGUAAAAAUAAUAGGAAUUAGUGUAGAAAUAUUUAUAUUAUAGAUAUAAAAUUUAAGCAGUAGAAAUGAUUAUAUUUGGAGACGGUCGGCGGAGGGAGUAAGUUAGAGAUGACUGUCUCAGCAUUCAGCAGAAUUUCUGUUGAUCUGGCGGUGCAACUGCGACACAAAGGCUCCCAGAGAUCUUAAGCUUUUUCAGUAGUUGGAGAAGCUAUACCGGUUUCAGGAAAGAGAACAGAAGGUCUCUAUUCAGAUACCGACACGAACUACGUACAUACGCUCUCGGAGACAGGGACGUGGCAACGAUUGGGAGCGUCGCGUUUUCUUCUUUAGCCUCUUGUAAGUAGCCGUUUGUUUCUCGCUCGCCCGUAUUCUGAUUUGUGCAUGUGAGGCUGUGAAUUGAAUGACAUGACAUCACGGUGGUGCUGCUGCUGCUGACACGCGGAUCGACCUCGUUCUGAAAGAGCCGGAUUAGCAGCUGAGAGCCAUGCUAAUAAUAUAGCCAAGAAAGCUGGCUAUAAGUCUCUUUGCGGUCUUCUCUUAAUUCACUAUAUAGUAUUUAGUUCUUUAUCAUUAACGAAGGUUUCACAUGUCUCUCUCACAUAGUUUUUUUAUUCAUGUGACCAAGCUGGCUAUAAGAUUAUGGUACACUUCUCAUCUCUCUCUACUCCUCUCUUCUUCACAUAAGCAUUUAGUUAAUUCAUAGUCUACUAUUAUACUUGCUCUGAUAGGCGCAUGUAAGCGCCGGAUCACUACGCGUGGAUUUCGUAUUGGUAAGUGAGUGGUUGAGAGGGAAGCUAUUGUGGUGUUUUGCCUACCUAGGAUCUUUAUUGGAUAUUUCAUUUAGUUUUCUCCUGAGUGAACUUUGCUGUUGAUAACUGUUCUUUAUUAUUUUUGCCUGAAUUUUUGCCCUCUCUGUAUCCUGCAAUACGAAGGUGCACCUGGGCAUUCUUGAUAGUUGAUGCUAAUCAAAACCUCAGCUUAGAAGUCGUUUUAAAUUGGUGGGAAGAUUAAAGCAUCUGUUGGCUGUCUUAUUGGCUAAAUCGUCAUCAGGUUUAGCUGGAAUGCUAAAGCCUGAUGUAGUGAACAAAUUUAUCUCCUAGACAGGAUGCAGCUUAAAUGCAAUGCAUUAAAGAAGUAAGAGCAACAACAGGCAAUGCCAGGCACUGAAAAAGAAGAUCAGAGGGGGCACCUCAAGAUUCCAAAGAAAGAGAAUCAAAUACAAAAGCUGCCAUAGUAUUGUUGAAAGCAAAUCUGAACUUUGAAAGGCUGAGAAGGUUUCAGCAGUACCUGGGUUGGCAAUGCAAGGCUCCCGCAGAUGAUCAGGGGUGAGAAGCUUAGCAGGUGACUGAAACCCAGCCUCCUAAACCAGCUGCUCAAUUGAUCUCUUAAGAAAAGAGCCUCCAAAACCCAGCAAGAAGCAGCUUUAGUGCCCUUAAAAGCAGCUAUUAUUUGCAGAUUAAGCUAUGUGAGCCCCUCACACAGUUCCCUUCCCUCUCUACAUACCUUUCCCUGUCCUCUCCUCCUUUGCUUCUAAGGAGGUUCUACUCCCUUUUUGAUUCCCUUUUAUUCAAUCCUGGGGUCACAC
rnacentral:lncRNA from 1 species